rnacentral:tRNA from 1 species
UGGGGUACAGCUCAGUGGUAAAGUGUGUGCCUAGCAUGCAAAAGGCCCUAGGUUUGAUCUCCAGUGCCACAU